rnacentral:rRNA from 1 species
UUUAAACUUAAAAUUAAAAUAAAGUUAGUAUUAGUUAUGUUCUUGAAAUUUAAAGAUUUUGGCGGUAUUUUAGUCUUUUCAGAGGAACCUGUUCUAUAAUCGAUAAUCCACGAUAAAUAUUACUUAUUUUAUUAGUUUGUAUAUCGUCGUAGUUGAAUAUUUCAUUAGAAUUUAAAUAUUCAAAAUUUAAUAUAAUAAUUUAAAUCAGAUCAAGGUGCAAUUUAUAAAUAAGGAGAAAUGGGUUACAAUAAAUUUAUUUAUAUGGAUAAGUUAAUGAAAAAAAUUUUGAAGGUGGAUUUGAAAGUAAUAAAAUUUAUUUAAAUUUUA